AUUGAACGCUGGCGGCAUGCCUUACACAUGCAAGUCGAACGGCAGCACGGGAGCAAUCCUGGUGGCGAGUGGCGAACGGGUGAGUAAUAUAUCGGAACGUGCCCAGUCGUGGGGGAUAACGUAGCGAAAGCUACGCUAAUACCGCAUACGAUCUAUGGAUGAAAGCGGGGGAUCGCAAGACCUCGCGCGAUUGGAGCGGCCGAUAUCAGAUUAGGUAGUUGGUGGGGUAAAGGCGCACCAAGCCGACGAUCUGUAGCUGGUCUGAGAGGACGACCAGCCACACUGGAACUGAGACACGGCCCAGAAUCCUACGGGAGGCAGCAGUGGGGAAUUUUGGACAAUGGGCGCAAGCCUGAUCCAGCAAUGCCGCGUGCAGGAUGAAGGCCUUCGGGUUGUAAACUGCUUUUGUACGGAACGAAACGGCGAGCUCUAAUACAGUUCGCUAAUGACGGUACCGUAAGAAUAAGCACCGGCUAACUACGUGCCAGCCGCCGCGGUAA
rnacentral:rRNA from 1 species